rnacentral:rRNA from 1 species
GUCCACGCCGUAAACGAUGAGUGCUAGGUGCUGUGGGUAUUGACCCCCGCGGUGCCGCAGCUAACGCGUUAAGCACUCCGCCUGGGGAGUACGGCCGCAAGGCUAAAACUCAAAGGAAUUGACGGGGGCCCGCACAAGCGGUGGAGCAUGUGGUUCAAUUCGACGCAACGCGCAGAACCUUACCUGGGGUUAAAUCCACCAGAAUCUUUCCAGAGAUGGAGGGGUGCCCUUCUGGGAACUGGUGAGAAGGUGCUGCAUGGCUGUCGU